GCCCCAGGGGCCAGGGGCGAGGCCCGAGCCGGGAGGCGCCUUUCUGUCCCGCUGCGGCGACGGGUCGGCUCUUCGGGGAGUUUUCCGGCGCGGGUGAGUGGCGGGAGGCGGUGGGGGCUAGUCGCUUCGUUUUGGCCUCCUCCGAACACCCCAACUCGGCCUGCCUCGGGUCCGGGCUGGGGCCCGGCAAGGGGGCGGGCGAGGCGACCCUAGCGGGAUGGGAAAGGGUGGGGUUCUCAUCUGCUGCCUUGGGGAAGGCCUGUUUUUUUGGGGGGGGACAGGGCACCAGGACUCCUCAGUCCUGAAAGUUGUGGAGGUUCGGCUCUCCCCCCCCCCCCGCCCCGAGGUGCAAAUCCGGGGUUGCCUCCUCCAGCUCUGCGCAGAGCGAGCUCAGAAUAUCCCGUGACUCAGUUUGGGGUCCCGAGGUGCAACGCAGCUCCUCCCCACCCGCCUGAAAGCGCAGCUGUUUCCGGGAGGGGGGCGCGGGUGGCUGGACCUCUAAGAACAGGAGUUCUCAAAACUUUUUUUCUCUGGGCCGCACUUUCACCAAAAAAAAAAAAAUUGCUAGCACCACGCUGAACUUUUUCCUCGCAGAACGAAAACACAGGACGCAACUGCUUUAUGAUACGAUCACAGACGGGACGUCCGGAAAGGAUGAAAUAAUGCAGUCACACAUGAAUAUUUCCCAAAAUAUCAUAUUGAUGGUCCGCCGCUCUUGCCAUUCUCUCCUGCCCCGCCCUUCGAGAACCGCUGCAUUCAGGACUUGCAGCAAAAAAAUACCAGUAACCUCGCGAUGCCUGGAGCCCCUUUGUUUCUGCACAGAUUUUCACAGGCUAAGAAGCAGCAGGUGCACUAAGUGUUAUCCUGAGUUACAGGUAUGUCUAUUGGGUGUGUGUGUUGGGGAGUGUUUGUGUGUAAACAGGGAGGUCAGAGAGAAUUCCGCAUUUCUUUUGCCUGUAGCCUCACUGCUUACAAUCCCUGCAACAAAAUCCCUGUGUAUAUGUACCUAUAAUUCAGGAUAACACUUCAUGGAGCUGAUGGAAGUGGACUGGAUAAGACAGUGCCAUAACAUAUUUCACUGUUCUUUCUCAAGUGUGUAUGUGGGUAGGUUCAGCUACCACUCUGUACAUGCUCAGAAGCUGAUUCUGGAGCUAGGACCUGUUGACCACCUACCUCACCCAGCCCAGAUCAAGACCCUUAGAAGAAUCAGGAACUGCUCCUGCUCUCAGACAAUUUUCUGGGGCUGCUUUUGCCUUUUGGGCAGGAACACAAAUGCAUCUUAGACUCUUCCAAAAUGUUUUAAAUUUGGGAAAGUUGCAUCCCACCCGCCUGCCUCCCCAGCUUGAAUAAUCAUUUGCGGUUUUUUUUCUGAGCUGCUUUGGAGGACUUUUCUAGCUGAAAGGCAGCAUGGGAAUAAACUUCCAACAUGGCUUAGCAUGCUUCCGAAUGCCAGCUGCUGGAGGGGAGAGUCGCUUUGGCACUUCCUGGUUAGCCAUAAUGCAAGCAGAAUGCUGGAUGAGUUGAGCCCCUGGCCUGAUCCUGCAGCCUUUUGGCAUCAGUUCAUGCCUCUGUUGGGUAUGGAGGUUACAAGGGGGAUUUUUAGGGCUGGGUGAUAUAUUGACAUGUUGUCCAAAACCGGUUUGAAGUCCGUAUUGUGAUACCAGUUUCAUCAUUGUUGACCUGGUAAAAGUAUCACAAACCAUGAUGUGUGUCUGUGCUAUGCAAAAAUCACAAUGUGGGGAAACCUGUGAAGCCAGCCAAUGUUUCUCGGUUCCUUCAGCCCCGGUUAACUCUGCCGUCUCAUAUGUAUUCUGUAGUUGACCUCCUUUGUAAUGUUUUAUUUUGAAAUAUUUAAGAUAACAUUUAAGUUUUCUGUUAAUUAUGUUGCUUUGACUGUAUACUCGAUUGUUUUAUUGAUGUUUUAAAAUGCUGUAAACCGCUUUGAGGUUUUUCUUAAAAAUAUAAAGCAGUAUAGAAAUGAAAUUAAUAAUAAUAAUAAUAAUAAUAAAAAAAAAACCUCUGCCGUCUCAGCUCCCCCUGCCUCAUGCAGGGGGGCAGCGAAUCACAAGGGCAGGCGCUGGCAAAAAUCACAAUGCGGGGAAAACUGUGAAGCCAGCCGAUGUCGCUUCACAGCACCGUCCUUAUUUCAGACAUCGUGAUAUAUCAUGGCGUCAUGAUGUUUAGUUGAUGAUAUAUGGCGAUGGGGUCACGAAGAGUCGGACACGACCAAACGACAACAACAAUAUUGCAAUGUUGAAAACCAGACAUCACCCAGCCCUAGAGAUUAUUGUUAAUUUAUUUCUAAAUUGGGAUUUCAAACCAGGCCUUCCCCAUGGGCUCCCAAGGGUGGGUUAUGUACAGUGCAAUGCAAGGAAACUGUGUAAUGCAGAAUCAUUUCUAGGCUGUAAGUUAGGCUGCAUCAGGAACAAAUGAGAACAGUGGCAAUGGCGGCUGCAACAGCAGGGAGGUUUUUAAUCUCAUCCUGCACACACACACACACACACACACACACACAGACCAGAUACCUGUGCAGAAAGGUGUACCUUAACCUACCAUUGAAAUGUGGCCGGGUGCUCUUUGGAGGGGGGGUCACGCCACACCUUGAAUGCCCCCCCUCCUGCUCCACCACUGACCCUCCAGAUCUGCAAAUAAUGAGAGUAACUCGUAAUAAAAUAGUUGCUUUUAUUUUAUAGCAAAACUAGGAAUUCCACAUGCUAUUUACAACAGGCCAAAGGUGUUUUAUUUCAAGUACAACAAAAUGGAUCAGGACAUCGAAACAACUCUUUUUAUUAUUAUUAUUAUUUUACAGGACUGGACGCCACAAAGCGAAGAAACUCGCACACUCUAGGACUGAUGCUGGCGGAAGGGAGUUCUUUUUUUGGACGCGUGCAGACUGCUUCCUUCGCCCCCAUCCUACCCUCCCCCCCCCGGCUUGCUCUCCGGAAACCCGCCCUGGUGGACC
rnacentral:lncRNA from 1 species